rnacentral:piRNA from 1 species
UAGAAAAUGAAUGUCAACAGAGAUGG